rnacentral:rRNA from 1 species
UACGUAGGUGGCAAGCGUUGUCCGGAUUUACUGGGCGUAAAGAGCGCGCAGGCGGUCGUUUAAGUCGAAUGUGAAAGCCCCCGGCUCAACUGGGGAGGGUCACGCGAUACUGAUCGACUCGAAGGCAGGAGAGGGUAGUGGAAUUCCCGGUGUAGUGGUGAAAUGCGUAGAUAUCGGGAGGAACACCAGUGGCGAAGGCGGGUCUCUGGGCCGUAACUGACGCUGAGGAGCGAAAGCAUGGGGAGCCGAACAGG